UUUUUAUUUUAUUUCAUUUAUUUAUUUAUCCUGAUUAGAAUUCUGAACAGUUGUUUAGUUUUACUUUUAAGUUUAAUUGAAGCCGAUUACUCCUGCAGCUCUCCUAUUGGAGGAGACAUGUCAUGUGAGACCUGCAGGUUUUUCUUGAGUAAUUAGUGCAGCUGUGGGUCUUUGAGAGUACGAUAGUUUUUGACCGUUUUUACAUCUCGAUUUUGUCAUUAUUAGUAGUAAAAAGUACCGUUUUCUUAUGCAAAGUAAACCUCCAAGUAAAUUGAAGACAGGAAAGAUCGACGACUUUGGCGUUUUGUUUUGGAAACACGCGUCGACUUCAGGCUCUGUAGAGUCACCUGAGAGGGUCUUCGAACAUUAGACGGAGCUGCACCCACACUAGGGUUGACUUGAUGUAGUGAUCCCAAAUAUGAAACAUGGAUCAUCCUACCCCACCCUCCCCUACUGUAGUUUUUCAGAUUAAACCCCUCCCUCUGAAUUUGUCUGCAUUAGUUUGACCUCCUCAGUCAGAACCAUCUGGACCCGCCCCAGAACUCAGCGAUCAUUCUGGAUAUGUCGCUCCGAUCUGUCGCCCAAAACUUCCUGCAGCAUUAAAACACCCUGAGAGCUCUAAAGGUCAAAGGUCAUCCCGUACAGUAACUCAGAGGAGGUCCGUGACUCAGUCCUGAGUCUUGGAUCAGCCUCAGAUCCUGUUUCCGGACUCCUUCGUCAGUCUUCAGACCUCAGUCUUUCCGUGGUCCUCCUCCGUACAUCAGGCUGUGCAGCAGCAGCAGCAGCAUCCUGGUCCACUUCGUCAUGAGAGCGACUGCGUCUAUAAAUAACCGAGAGACGACGUCAGAGCGAAGACCGGAGCAGGAGAGAGUCUGUAAAUAACACAGAUAAUUGAUUUACAGACCAACAAACUUUCUGUCAUCACCACCAAACUUUCAGAGUCACUUCAGGUCACAGCGGCGAGGAGCGUCAAUCCAACACACAGCUUCCUGUUUACUAUAAAUAUCCCCGAGGUGGAGACGGUCGGUGGUCGUGAGGGGGAGACUGAGGACUGAGACUGAGUCGUCUCUACAGUCACCGUUUCAGUUCCUCAAAACUCGACCUGAAAAACUAAAGUUUAACGCCGUUCAGAAACUAAAACUCAGAUCUGAUUUCUUCAUCGACCUUUAAUCAGAGCCGAGGGUCUUUAAUCUGACGGACCCUGAACCUGACAGACGAGGAGCAGGUUUAAAACUCAUCCAGAAAAAUCUAAAAUCAGAAUCCAGACUUUAUUUAACAUGUUUUUACUUUAAUCUCAGAUUCAGAGAAAAGUCAGAAUUCUGACUGAAAUCACAGAUUAGGAGUCAAAAUUCAGAUUUUAAUCUGGAUUAUAGGGAGAAAAGUCUAAAUCUUUGUUUUGAUCUCAGAAUUAUAACAAAAAAAAUCAGAAUUCAGAAUUUUGUGAGGACUGGUCCCCAGUCCUCCAGUUUUGCUCCUCUUUGCCCUCCCCUCUCGGGCUGUCUUUCCCCCUUUUUCCACUUCGCCUGAGCGGCGCUGUAGGCUGCUCAGGGUCCCUCUCUUCACUUCCUGCAUGGGUGGCACCGCGGGAGCUGAUCACCUGCUGGAGACCUCACCUGCUGCUAAUUCCGGUCUGAUUACCUGCCUACAAGAGCCCAGGGAGGAAUCUUCUCAGUGCUGGCUGAUUGCCUGACUAAGUGGUUCGUUCACUACGUUUGUGCUGGCCUUAAGCCUCUUCUCCCCUCACGGAGAUUAUCUUGUGCUUCACUUCUUGAUGAUUGUGGUGGAUUCAUGCCCGUUUUUACCCCUGGACUAACUCCUUCUCUCUUUCUCGUUUUUUCCAGGUCUCCACGAGCUCCCGCCACCACCACCAUCAUUGCCUUGUUCACUUUUUACUCACAUGUAAAUAAAAAUCACUGUUUGUUGAAAUCCUGAUCUGAUUCAGCCUCUGCUCUGGGUCCACUUAUGCACAACACCUAACAAAUUUGAUCAUAAAGUUUUAUGAAAUAGUCAAUAUUUGACUUUAUCAUCUACAAACUGAUUUUAAUCUGGAAAAAAAUUCUGAGUAAAGUCUCAAAACUUCGAGUGUAAUCUCAUAAUCUGAUGAUGAAUCAGAAUAAAAACUUUAGACUAAGAAUUCAGACUUUAAUCUGAGAUUUUGGAGUAAAAAGUUUGGCUUUAAUUUAGAAUUAAAUUUUUUAUCUCCAAUAACCAGGAAAAAAAUCUAAACUGUAAAGUUUAUCUUCAAAUUCUGAGAAAUAAAAGACAAUUUUAAUGUUUACAUCAAUAUUCCGAUUUAUUUUAGAAGUUUGAUCCACGAGAAAAGGUCAGGAUCUAGACUUAAAUAUUCUGAGAGAGGAAAUCUGAAUUAAGAUUUUACUCUAAAGGAUUCAACUUUUAAUUUUCAGUUUCAAAGACAGAAAAUCAGAAAAAUUCAAAGUAAAAGGACAAAAUUCAGACUUUAAUCUCACAGGUUCAAAACAGAACUAACUUUAGUCUGAAAGUUACUGAUUUAAUUUAGAUUUUGUGAGUUAGAAUUCUGACUUAAAUCUUAUAAACCAAAGUUAAGUCAUUUAUUUAUAGAAUUCUGGUUUUAAUCCUAAAAAAAUCUGGAUUUCUUCUCUUCUAAGCCCCUCCCCCUCACUGGGCGCUCUCAGGGGUCGGUUUUCUCUACAGGAUGAUCUUAACGGUAGAAACAUGACAGUAAAUUACUGUUUUCUGUCAAUUUCAACAGUUAUAAUGAUUUUAAAAUGUCUUUCUGAUUUUAGAUGGUUUUUAUCUCUUUUAGUAUUUUUUCUGAACUGCCUUGUCUAUGAUCCUGAUCCUUCUGUAAAGAUUAUUAAACUGAAGUUAUUUUAUCAUAUUUCUCAGUUUUUGUCAUUUUAACCUUCAGUCUGAUUUCACUCAAAGCUCUUCAGCAGGACUUUAGUUGAACAUGUGAACUUUGGAUCCCGCUCCCGUCUGAAUCUGUGUCCCGGCUCGUUGGUCCACAGUCAGACCGCGGACUGACGCACAGACAGUCAUGUGUCACUAAUAACCUUCAGGACCAAACUGACCUCAUGUCAGUGGAGGGAACAGAGGCCAACUGUUAAACUCGGAGGGGGUUUCUCACCCUCACCGUCACUCCGUCCGGACAAUCCCAGACGACAAACGCACAUGGAUGUCCUUCCUCACCCACGUGUGCCAAACGCCGUUUCAUCCUCUCGGAGCGAGCGCCGUGAGGGGCUGAACUAGACCUUCACCCCUGUUGGAGGUCUGGAUCUAUAUUUACAGCAGAAAUCUGAUUACCAGCCUGAGGAGGACUUUGAGGGACUUUCUGAGCCGUAGACUUGAACCUUUGUUUGGAUCAGGGUUCAUGAAUUCACAGAAUCGACUCUUCUGACCCCUGAACACGGAGAGAUUCAGAGAGAAAGGGUGGAAAUCUUUUCAGGUUUGGUCGGAAAUACAUGAACUCUAUUCAGCUCUCAGAACUUUGAGAUCUUCACACAGAGCGGCUGUCAGACCUCCAAACUGUUCGACUGUGAAAAAACACAAAUAUGAGGCAGACGAUCAAACUGAAGAAAUGAAGAUCUGUAAAUGUAAGAACUGCUGUCAUGAGAUUUCUCAUGUACUCAGGUGAAACAGAGCGGAGGUGUGCUCUACCUGCUCCAGGCUUUAACAGGCCUGUAUGCACACAGAGGGGCAGGCAGCUCUACAUAGAGGGUCUUUGCUGCUGCAGAGAGAGAAAGUCACAAAAUCAGUAAAAUGUCCUGAUUUUAAAAGAAAACUGAAAACGUAACUUUUUAGAUUUGCUUUUAACUAAAUUUUUAUAUCAUUAACUUUGUUGAGGUGUUUUAGCAUUUAUAUCUUCUGAC